UUCUCAGUUCGGAUCGGAGUCUGCAACCCGACUCCGUGAAGCUGGAUUCGCUAGUAAUCGCGCAUCAGCCAUGGCGCGGUGAAUACGUUCCCGGGCCUUGUACACACCGCCCGUCAGCCAUGGAAGCCGGGGGCGCUUGAAGUGCGUUGCCGCAAGGCGCGCCCUAGAGCGAAACCGGUGACUGGGGCUAAGUCGUAACAAGGUACC
rnacentral:rRNA from 1 species